rnacentral:rRNA from 1 species
GUGGUCAAGCUAAUAAGGGCUAAUGGUGGAUACCUAGGCACACAGAGGCGAAGAAGGACGUGGUUACCGACGAAAUGUUCCGGGGAGUUGGAAGCAAACGAAGAGCCGGAAAUAUCCGAAUGGGGCAACCCUAAAUACUACCUGUUGAAUAUAUAGACAGGAAAGAGCCAACCCAGCGAACUGAAACAUCUUAGUAGCUGGAGGAAGAGAAAUCAAAACAGAGAUUCCCUAAGUAGUGGUGAGCGAAAGGGGAAGAGCCUAAACCAAAGGAUUUAUCUUUUGGGGUAGUGGGACAGCAAGAUCGAAUCACUUAGGUUAGACGAAACAGCUAAAUACUGUACCAGAGGAAGUGAAAGUCUUGUAGUCAAAAACCAAAGGAUAGUAGCUGCAUCCCGAGUAGUACGGAGCACGAGAAAUUCCGUAUGAAUCAGCGAGGACCACCUCGUAAGGCUAAAUACUACUGUGUGACCGAUAGAGAACAAGUACCGCGAGGGAAAGGUGAAAAGAACCCCGGAAGGGGAGUGAAAUAGAACAUGAAACCAUAAGCUUACAAGCAGUGGGAGUCCGAUUAAACGGAUGACCGCGUGCCUGUUGAAGAAUGAGCCGGCGACUUAUAGGCACUGGUAGGUUAAAGCGAGAAUGCUGGAGCCAAAGGGAAACCGAGUCUGAAGAGGGCGAAAAUCAGUGUUUAUAGACCCGAACCCUGGUGAUCUAACCAUGUCCAGGAUGAAGCUUGGGUAACACCAAGUGGAGGUCCGAACCGACUGAUGUUGAAAAAUCAGCGGAUGAGGUGUGGUUAGGGGUGAAAUACCAAUCGAACCAGGAGCUAGCUGGUUCUCCCCGAAAUGUGUUGAGGCGCAGCGGUUGUGAUUAAAUCUGGGGGGUAAAGCACUGUUUCGGUGCGGGCUGGGAGACCGGUACCAAAUCGAGACAAACUCAGAAUACCCAGAGAACACACAGCCAGUGAGACAGUGGGGGAUAAGCUUCAUUGUCAAGAGGGAAACAGCCCAGACCACCAGCUAAGGUCCCCAAAUCAUCACUAAGUGAUAAAGGAGGUGAGAAUGCCUAGACAACUAGGAGGUUUGCCUAGAAGCAGCCACCCUUGAAAGAGUGCGUAAUAGCUCACUAGUCAAGCGUUCUUGCGCCGAAAAUGAACGGGGCUAAGUGAUGUACCGAAGCUGUGGGAUUACUAAUCAUAAUCGGUAGGGGAGCGUUCCGUAGUAGGGAGAAGCAGUAGCGGCAAGCAGCUGUGGACGAAACGGAAGUGAGAAUGUCGGCUUGAGUAGCGCAAAUGUAUGUGAGAAUCAUACACCCCGAAACCCUAAGGGUUCCAGAGCCAGGUUCGUCCACUCUGGGUUAGUCGGGACCUAAGGCGAGGCCGAAAGGCGUAGUCGAUGGACAAAGUGUCAAUAGUCACUUACUGUUCUGUGGGAGCAUAGACAGGGACGCAUGAAAGAUAGCCAUACCCUGAUUGGUUUGGGAGGGGUUUACGAACUCCGAGUGGUGAAGGAAAGUGCCAAGAAAAGCUGUAUAUGUGAUGAAGAUAGAACACCCGUACCCGAAACCGACACAGGUAGGGAGGUUGAGAAUACCAAGGGGCGCGAGAUAACUCUCUCUAAGGAACUCGGCAAAAUGGCCCCGUAACUUCGGAAGAAGGGGUGCCCACCUCAGCAGUGGGUCGCAGUGAAGAGAUCCAAGCGACUGUUUACCAAAAACACAGGUCUCCGCUAACUCGCAAGAGGACGUAUGGGGGCUGACGCCUGCCCAGUGCCGGAAGGUUAAGGAAGCUGGUCAGCGAAAGUGAAGCUGGCGACCGAAGCCCCGGUGAACGGCGGCCGUAACUAUAACGGUCCUAAGGUAGCGAAAUUCCUUGUCGGGUAAGUUCCGACCCGCACGAAAGGCGUAACGAUUUGGAUGGUGUCUCAGAGAGAGACUCGGCGAAAUAGGAAUGUCUGUGAAGAUACGGACUGCCUGCACCUGGACAGAAAGACCCUAUGAAGCUUUACUGUAGCCUGGAAUUGUGUUCGGGCUUCGCUUGCGCAGGAUAGGUGGGAAGCGA